AACGAACGCUGGCGGCAUGCCUAACACAUGCAAGUCGAACGAGACCUUCGGGUCUAGUUGCGCACGGGUGCGUACCGCGUGGGAACCUGCCCUUAGGUUCGGAAUACCUCCCUGUAAGGGGUCCUAAUACCGGUUAAUGUCUUCGGACCAAAGAUGUCUCGCCUUUGGAUGGGCCCGCGUUGGAUUCGCUAGUUGGUAGGGUAAAAGCCUACCAAGGCGACGAUCCAUAGCUGGUCGGAGAGGAGGAUCUGCCACACUGGGACUGAGACACGGCCCAGACUGCGACGGAAGGGAGCAGUGGGGAAUAUUGGACGAUGGGCGAAAGCCUGAUACAGCAAUGCCGGGUGAGAGAUGAAGGCCUUAGGGUUGUAAAGCUCUUUUAGCCGAGAUGAUAAUGACAGUACCGGGAGAAUAAGCACCGGCUAACUACGUG
rnacentral:rRNA from 1 species